rnacentral:rRNA from 1 species
UACGGGGGGGGCAAGCGUUGUUCGGAAUUACUGGGCGUAAAGGGCGCGUAGGCGGUUUGCUAAGUUGGAUGUGAAAACUCUGGGCUUAACCCAGAGCCUGCAUCCAAAACUGGCAAACUUGAGUACUGGAGGGGAAAGCGGAAUUCCUGGUGUAGCGGUGAAAUGCGUAGAUAUCAAGCGGAACACCGGUGGCGAAGGCGGCCUUCUGGACGAUGACUGACGCUGAGACGCGAAAGCGUGGGGAGCAAACAGG